UACGUAGGGACCGAUCGUUGUCCGGAUUCAUUGGGCGUAAAGAGCUCGUAGGCGGCUGUUCAAGUCGAACGUGAAAACUCGGGGCUCAACUCCGAGCCUGCGUUCGAUACUGGAUGGCUAGAGUCUGGUAGGGGGAUCUGGAAUUCCUGGUGUAGCGGUGGAAUGCGCAGAUAUCAGGAGGAACACCGGUGGCGAAGGCGAGUCUCUGGACAUUUCCUGACGCUGAGGCACGAAAGCCAGGGGAGCAAACGGG
rnacentral:rRNA from 1 species